GACGAACGCUGGCGGCGUGCUUAACACAUGCAAGUCGAACGAAGCAUUUAGAACAGAUUACUUCGGUUUGAAGUUCUAUAUGACUGAGUGGCGGACGGGUGAGUAACGCGUGGGUAACCUGCCUUGUACUGGGGGAUAGCAGCUGGAAACGGCUGGCAAUACCGCAUAAGCGCACAAUGUUGCAUGACAUGGUGUGAAAAACUCCGGUGGUAUAAGAUGGACCCGCGUCUGAUUAGCUAGUUGGUGAGAUAACAGCCCACCAAGGCGACGAUCAGUAGCCGACCUGAGAGGGUGACCGGCCAGAUUGGGACUGCGACACGGCCCAGACUCCUACGGGAGGCAGCAGUGGGGAAUAUUGCACAAUGGAGGAAACUCUGAUGCAGCGACGCCGCGUGAGUGAAGAAGUAAUUCGUUAUGUAAAGCUCUAUCAGCAGGGAAGAUAGUGACGGUACCUGACUAAGAAGCGCCGGCUAAAUACGUGCCAGCCGCCGCAGUAA
rnacentral:rRNA from 1 species